CGAGGCCGAGUCCGGGAGGUCCAUCUCUUUCUCCUCCUCCGCUGCCUGAAACAGGCAAGAACAGAGUGGUCUGCACUAGUCACCAGAUGAGAAAACUGAGGCUCAGGGACACUGAGAAACUGGGCCACUGUCACACAGCCAGUGAACCUAAGUCACAACAAAUGGCCACAGCCCACAGGUCUCACAAAGGUGUGAAUCUGAACAGGUGCACAAUAUCCAGCUGUGACAGGACAGUGGCUUCUUACAGCAGCUGAUUUCUGCCCGACUUCUGAUGUUUCUCCAGGAAAAAAGAGGAAACAGGGAUUUUUUUUUUCUGGGAAAUUGCCUCAUUGACAAAUGUCAGCAAUCAAUACUUUUUUCCAAAAUAUCAUGGAGGCCAAGAGUA